AUGAGCACACCACCAGACAGUGUUUUACCACAAAUAAACCGCCUUAACAAAAAGAAGAGCAAGAAACCAAAGGAUUCUACGACCACUUGCUUUGUAGAGAAAUAGGGAAGAGCCAAGGACCAAAAAAGAAACAAUGACCAUUGAGUAAAAGUGCCAAGCAUCUUAAUAGGAACAACUUUCUUUAUAAUAACAGCACCUGUGCAUGAUAAGCUUCCUGAAUUAAAGUA
rnacentral:misc_RNA from 1 species